GGAAGGAUCAUUACCGAAUUGUCAACAAGAGUUGUUGCUGGUCCCCGUAUGGGGGCAUGUGCACACUCUGUUUACACAUCCACUCACACCUGUGCACGCUCUGUAGUUCUGUGGCCUGGGUGGGCUCUGUCCCCCCUGCUGUGGUUCUAUGUCUUUACACACACACUACAACAAAGUCUCAUGGAAUGUAUGUCGCGUUUAACGCAAUAAAUACAACUUUCAGCAACGGAUCUCUUGGCUCUCGCAUCGAUGAAGAACGCAGCGAAAUGCGAUAAGUAAUGUGAAUUGCAGAAUUCAGUGAAUCAUCGAAUCUUUGAACGCACCUUGCGCCCUUUGGCUAUUCCGAAGGGCAUGCCUGUUUGAGUAUCAUGAACACCUCAACUCUCAUGGCUUGCCGUGAUGUGCUUGGACUUUGGGGGUCUUGUUGGCCUGUGGGCCAGCUCCUCUUAAAUGAAUCAGCUUGCCGGUGUCUGGUGGCGUCACAGGUGUGAUAACUAUCUACGCUUGUGGUUUCCCACUAGGGUAACCUUCAGCAAUGAAGGUUCACCGGAGCUUAUAAAUGUCUCUCCUCAGCGAGGACAGAUUUUGACCAUUUGAUCUCAAAUCAGGUAGGACUACCCGCUGAACUUAAGCAUAUCAA
rnacentral:sRNA from 1 species